AAAGGGUAGCAAUACCUGAGUACAGCGGCGCACGGGUGAGUAACACGUGGAUAACCUGCCUCAAAGUGGGGAAUAACACCGGGAAACCGGUGCUAAUACCGCAUAUUCUGAUGGAAUCUGUGGAUUUUGUCAGUAAAGGAGCAAUUCGCUAUGAGAGGGGUCCGCGGCUGAUUAGCUAGUUGGUGAGGUAAUGGCUCACCAAGGCAACGAUCAGUAGCCGGUCUGAGAGGACGGUCGGCCACACUGGAACUGAGACACGGUCCAGACUCCUACGGGAGGCAGCAGUGGGGAAUUUUUCGCAAUGGGGGCAACCCUGACGAAGCAAUGCCGCGUGGAUGAUGAAGUAUUUCGGUACGUAAAAUCCUUUCGACGGGGACGAAACCGCAAGGUUGACGGUACCCGUAGAAGAAGCCCCGGCUAACUCCGUGCCAGCAGCCGCGGUAAUACGGGGGGGGCAAGCGUUGUUCGGAAUUACUGGGCGUAAAGGGUGCGUAGGCGGCUUUCUAAGUUGGAUGUGAAAACUCUGGGCUCAACCCAGAGACUGCAUCCAAAACUGGAGAGCUUGGGUUCUGGAGGGGAAAGCGGAAUUCCUGGUGUAGCGGUGAAAUGCGUAGAUAUCAGGAGGAACACCGGUGGCGAAGGCGGCUUUCUGGACAGAUACCGACGCUGAGGCACGAAAGCUAGGGGAGCAAACAGGAUUAGAUACCCUGGUAGUCCUAGCCCUAAACGAUGGAUACUUGCUGUGAGGGGGAUUGAAACCCCUUGUGGCGAAGCUAACGCAUUAAGUAUCCCGCCUGGGGAGUACGGUCGCAAGGCUGAAACUC
rnacentral:rRNA from 1 species